rnacentral:rRNA from 1 species
GACGAACGCUGGCGGCGUGCUUAACACAUGCAAGUCGAACGAAGAGCGAUGGAAGCUUGCUUCUAUCAAUCUUAGUGGCGAACGGGUGAGUAACGCGUAAUCAACCUGCCCUUCAGAGGGGGACAACAGUUGGAAACGACUGCUAAUGCCGCAUACGAUCUAAUCUCGGCAUCGAGGAUAGAUGAAAGGUGGCCUCUACAUGUAAGCUAUCACUGAAGGAGGGGAUUGCGUCUGAUUAGCUAGUUGGAGGGGUAACGGCCCACCAAGGCGAUGAUCAGUAGCCGGUCUGAGAGGAUGAACGGCCACAUUGGGACUGAGACACGGCCCAGACUCCUACGGGAGGCAGCAGUGGGGAAUCUUCCGCAAUGGACGAAAGUCUGACGGAGCAACGCCGCGUGAGUGAUGACGGCCUUCGGGUUGUAAAGCU